rnacentral:rRNA from 1 species
AUGAACGCUGGCGGCGUGGAUAAGGCAUGCAAGUCGAACGGAAUACAUUUUGAGAUUAUAUCAAUGGAUGUGUUUAGUGGCAGACGGGGUAGUAACACGUAGGUACUUCCCCCAGAGACGAGAACAACUCCGCGAAAGCGGAGCUAAUACUCGAUGGUCCCCGAGCGUAAGCGAGGGGUAAAUCUCGCAAGAGGCUCUGGGAAAGGCCUGCGGGCUAUCAGCUAGUUGGUAGGGUAACGGCCUACCAAGGCUAUGACGGCUAGGGGACGUGAGAGCGUGACCCCCACCAAUGGGACUGAGAUACGGCCCAUACACCUACGGGUGGCAGCAGCCGAGAAUAUUCGACAAUGGGCGAAAGCCUGAUCGAGCGACGCCGCGUGCAGGAUGAAGUCCUUCGGGACGUAAACUGCUUUUAUAGGGGAGGAACGCAAGUGACUGUACCCUAUGAAUAAGGACUUGCUAAUCUCGU